GGCCAGACUCCUACGGGAGGCAGCAGUAGGGAAUCUUUCACAAUGGGCGAAAGCCUGAUGGAGCAACGCCGCGUGCAGGAUGAAGGCCUUCGGGUUGUAAACUGCUUUUAUAAGCGAGAAAUAUGAUGGUAACUUAUGAAUAAGGAUCGGCUAACUACGUGCCAGCAGCCGCGGUAAUACGUAGGUGGCAAGCGUUGUCCGGAUUUACUGGGUGUAAAGGGCGUGCAGCCGGAGAGACAAGUCAGAUGUGAAAUCCACGGGCUCAACCCGUGAACUGCAUUUGAAACUGUUUCCCUUGAGUGUCGGAGAGGUAAUCGGAAUUCCUUGUGUAGCGGUGAAAUGCGUAGAUAUAAGGAAGAACACCAGUGGCGAAGGCGGAUUACUGGACGAUAACUGACGGUGAGGCGCGAAAGCGUGGGGAGCAAACAGGAUUAGAUACCCCAGUAAA
rnacentral:rRNA from 1 species